rnacentral:rRNA from 1 species
AGAGUUUGAUCCUGGCUCAGGACGAACGCUGGCGGCAUGCCUAACACAUGCAAGUCGAGCGGAGGUAUUUAAGUAGCUUGCUACGAGAAUACCUUAGCGGCGGACGGGUGAGUAACGCGUGAGCAAUUUGCCUUGUACAGGGGGAUAACAGAUGGAAACAUCUGCUAAUACCGCAUAAGACCACACUGGGGAAUGCCAGAGAGGUCAAAGGAGUUAAAUCCGGUACAAGAUGAGCUCGCGUCCCAUUAGCUAGUUGGUAGGGUAACAGCCUACCAAGGCGACGAUGGGUAGCCGACCUGAGAGGGUGAUCGGCCACACUGGGACUGAGACACGGCCCAGACUCCUACGGGAGGCAGCAGUGGGGAAUAUUGCGCAAUGGGGGAAACCCUGACGCAGCAAUGCCGCGUGAGUGAAGAAGGCCUUCGGGUCGUAAAACUCUGUCUUUGGGGAAGAAAAAAAUGACGGUACCCAAGGAGGAAGCCCCGGCUAACUACGUGCCAGCAGCCGCGGUAAUAC